rnacentral:tmRNA from 1 species
GGGGGCGUACCGGCUUCGACGGGAAUAUUGAGGCAUGAUCAGCGGGUCGUGGUGUCCGCCACGUUAAAAGGGCAUCUUUAUAAAUUAAAGAACAACAACAGAGCACUCGCAGCCGCGUAAGCCGGCAGCCGUCCUACCCGGAAGAACCACGGUCCGGGGGCUCUACCGGAGGGUAACCCUCUGUGGGGUCGCACGGGGACCUGUUCCUCGCGUCAUGGGCGUCGUUUAGUGGUGAACGUGAGCCGGCUAAGCUUUGCCCCGGCCAUGAACCGAUGAAGCUACCAAUCCUCGGAGUCUGACAGUCGACGUCGGGGUGCGGGAAUCCAAAUGACUGUCUGCACCCGGAGAACAUUAUGCGGAGAUAUUUUCGGACAGGGGUUCAACUCCCCUCGCCUCCACCA